GAGAAAAAUAUUAUUUGAUUAUUGGGAUUUAUUUAAUUUAUAAAAAGAAUUGUUGUUUUGUUUUUGUAUAUUUUAGAUAAAAUUAUUUUUAUUAUAGCUUAUAGUACAGUGAUGGAAUUAUUGGAUUUUUUUGUUAAAGGAUAUUUUGUUAGUACCUUUUGUAUCAGGGUUUAUCAAAAUUAUUUUAUGGAUAUAAGUAUCUCGAAUUAGGGAGAGCUAUAUAUACAAUGAAGGUUACUGUGGAAUUUUUAUCUUUAAUUGUUUAUAGGAAUGAAAUGUUAUACGUUCUUUAAGAUAUCUAGUUUAUUAGGAUUUAAAUUUAAUUUAUAUGUUUAGGUGGUUAUAGAUUUACUUUAAUAUAAAGAGUACUUGGGAUUAGCUUAGUAUAUUAUUAAAAAUUAUUAUAGUGUAUAAAAUUUAUAGGCUUUAUAAUGGCAUGGGUUUUAAAAUAUAAAAAUUUAUUUUAUUUAGUUUUAUGUAAUUUAUGUGAUUUUAAUAUAAUACUAAUAUGAUAAUAGAAAUUAAUAUUUUUUUGUAAUAAUGAUGUAAUUAGUAGAUUUAAUUUAUUUUGUUUAGUAUUAGGAAAUAAUGUAUUAGGAAUUCGGCAAUUAAAUUAUCCGCCUGUUUAUCAAAAACAUGUCUCGAUGUUUAUUAUGUUGAGUCUGGCCUGCCUACCGAUUAUAUAUAUUAAGGGGCCGCAGUAUAUUAACUGUGCAAAGGUAGCAUAAUCAUUAGUCUUUUAAUUGGGGACUGGAAUGAAAGGUUUAACGAGAUAAUAACUGUCUUAUAUAUUAGAAUUUAAUUUCAUUUUUAAGUAAGAAAGCUUAAAUUAUGAUAAGGGACGAUAAGACCCUAUAGAACUUUAUAUGAAUUAUUUAAUAUAAAUAAUAAAUAUUUUACUGGGGCGGUCAGGAAAGAUAAAAACUUUUCUUAAUUUAACAUUUUAGAUGACAUAGAGAUCUUUUAUUAGGGAUGAAAUAAUAAGUUACCUUAGGGAUAACAGCUUAAUUUUCUUAAAGAGUUCUAAUCGACAAGAAAAGUUAAGACCUCGAUGUUGGAUUAGGAAGGCUAUAGGGCGCAGUAGUUUUAUUAGUAAGUCUGUUCGACUUUUAAAUUCCUACAUGAUCUGAGUUCAGACCGGCGUGAGCCAGGUUGGUUUCUAUCUUUAUUUUAUUUAUAUAAAUUAGUACGAGAGGGCCAUUUAUAUAAAAUAUUUUUUUUAUGUGGAAUACUAUU
rnacentral:rRNA from 1 species